rnacentral:siRNA from 1 species
GGUGGGUCUACUACGGUGG